rnacentral:misc_RNA from 1 species
GCAAACUUGGUCAUUUAGAGGAAGUAAAAGUCGUAACAAGGUAACCGUAGGUGAACCUGCGGUUGGAUCAUUACUGAAGUUUAUGGUAUGAACGGUCGUUCAACCAACUCCUAUGUGAACUGUUAUUACUCUUUUGGUGGCCCACAAAACAUGUCGGCGUGUCUUCAUAUGGUUACUCACUCGACCGAAAGGGGUUUGUGAAUUGGCUAUGUAAGGACACGACUUCGGGCCACCUGACUGCGUUAAAUCCUUGUUUUUUAUGUAUUUUUUGUCUAUUUAUGAUUCGUGAUGCGAAUGCUUAUUAAAACAAAAACAACUUUUGACAAUGGAUCUCUUGGCUCUUGCAUCGAUGAAGAACGCAGC